rnacentral:lncRNA from 1 species
GUCACUACUUUAAAAUAUAGGUUCCAUGAUUAUUUAGGUGUGGCAAGGCCAACAGAUCAGGAAAUGACUGCCAUGGAAAAGAGGAUUAUACUCACAGAUUCCAAGAGAAGGCGGCAUGCCAGAAUCUGGAACCGGAUCCUCUAAUGAUGUCAUAAGACCUGAGCUGUAUUCACCUAGGAAUCAUGUUGUAAAAUACUCAAGAAAGCACAGGUGAGUCUUUGUCCUUGAAGAGGGCAAAUUAAAGAGAAGGUGGCAGGUAUCAAAGGCAGGUGGUGACUCUUCCUAUUGCUUUCUGAUGUCUCCAAG